UACGUAGGGGGGCGAGCGUUGUCCGGGAAUUAUUGGGGCGUAAAAGCGCGCGCAGGCGGUCUCUUAAGUCUGAUGUGAAAUCUUGCGGCUCAACCGCAAGCGAUCAUUGGAAACUGGGGAGACUUGAGUACAGAAGAGGAGAGUGGAAUUCCAUGUGUAGCGGUGAAAAUGCGUAGAUAUAUGGAGGAACACCAGUGGCGAAAGGCGACUCUCUGGUCUGUAACUGACGCUGAGGCGCGAAAAGCGUGGGGAGCAAACAGG
rnacentral:rRNA from 1 species